CCUGGCUUAUCAUUUACAUCUCUCACCCAUUCUGGAGUAAUCUCUUCCGGCAGAUAUUCGACCUGUAAAUUCAAGUAAGGCCUUUCCUUAGCAGCGCGAACAUAGUAUUCAUACAUCUCUUGUUCGGCUUUAGGAACAUAAAUUCGAUUCACGUGUGAUCCUGAUCGGUCUUUGGUAUCACGGCAAAUAACAUCCAAAACACUGGCAUCGAUUCUUCGAGUAAGGGCAUCCCAAAAGGUACCUUUGAUGAGUCUAGAAAGUCGGUUCACAGGGUUUUCAUUAAGUCUUCGCUCAUCAAGUAAAAUAUAUCGACGUCCAUAAUCCUUUGCCAAGGUCAAUUCCUGAAGUAAAUUUGACAAUUGAUAUGUGCCGCGAAGCUCAUACAAGCGAUA